rnacentral:ncRNA from 1 species
UCAUGUGACGAACAACCCGAAGGCUAAGGCCAGGGGAGUUCUGAUGA